GGUGAUGCAGAGCUUGCUCUGCUGAUCAGUGGCGAACGGGUGAGUAACACGUGAGUAACCUGCCCUUGACUCUGGGAUAAGCGCUGGAAACGGCGUCUAAUACCGGAUACGACCUUCCCCGGCAUCGGGUGGGGGUGGAAAGAUUUUUUGGUCAAGGAUGGACUCGCGGCCUAUCAGCUUGUUGGUGAGGUAAUGGCUCACCAAGGCGACGACGGGUAGCCGGCCUGAGAGGGUGACCGGCCACACUGGGACUGAGACACGGCCCAGACUCCUACGGGAGGCAGCAGUGGGGAAUAUUGCACAAUGGGCGAAAGCCUGAUGCAGCAACGCCGCGUGAGGGAUGACGGCCUUCGGGUUGUAAACCUCUUUUGGCAGGGAAGAAGCGAAAGUGACGGUACCUGCAGAAAAAGCACCGGCUAACUACGUGCCAGCAGCCGCGGUAAUACGUAGGGUGCGAGCGUUGUCCGGAAUUAUUGGGCGUAAAGAGCUCGUAGGCGGUUUGUCGCGUCUGCUGUGAAAUCCCGAGGCUCAACCUCGGGCCUGCAGUGGGUACGGGCAAACUAGAGUGCAGUAGGGGAGACUGGAAUUCCUGGUGUAGCGGUGGAAUGCGCAGAUAUCAGGAGGAACACCGAUGGCGAAGGCAGGUCUCUGGGCUGUAACUGACGCUGAGGAGCGAAAGCGUGGGGAGCGAACAGGAUUAGAUACCCUGGUAGUCCACGCCGUAAACGUUGGGCGCUA
rnacentral:rRNA from 1 species